UCUAGCAUAUGCAUCGUACGAACUCAAUAACUCGUCUAAUAGUUGACGUCGAACAUAGAGCCAGUCAUUCUUGCCAUACCCAAGACAAACAGAUAUUGCUCGAAAUCCACAGUUUCCAUCCCCCUCUACAUCUUGUAUAUGUGUGAUGUAAGGAUGAAACAUCACUUGAAUUUCAUCUAUUAGUCGAUGAUUGUAGCAUGAUUGAGGCUCUUCCUUCAAUUCUGGAAUUUCAUUCAAGUCUGGCUCUUCUUUCAAGUCUGGAAUUGUGGUUAUGUAUAAACUAUGUCUUGCCGGUUCCCUAUUGUUCAACUCAACAAAUUUUGGCAUGGGUGAAAAGUUGCGUCUUCUAGGAGCUUGAUUGACAGAAUCAGUUUGUUUUUGUUUUUGUUUCUUCAAACUUGGUCGUCCACUAUAUUUUUUUUGAAUUGCGGGUUCUCUAAUGUGUGUGUUACUAGGCUGGAAUAUAUGUAGUAGCUUUCUCAUCAUGCUUUUUUUCACAGCUUCCUGAAGUUGGCUUCCCCCUUCACCGCCCACCGCCUUUCUCCAUCUUUUAUCUUAUGGUUCCAUUUUCCGGCUUUCUGGAUAGGCCAAACUAUUCCAUCGAUGGUUUUGCUAUCCUAAGACUACUCUAAAUCCUUAUUAGUUCAUGUACACCUCAAUUUCUUCAAUUUCAUGAAGAGGCAGGGGAAGUAAGAGAGCAUCAUGAGGAAGGAGGUAGCAAGAAGAGUUGGAAUUCAAACUCGGGACCUCUAAAGCAUUAGUUCAACAGGAUGAACAGAGCAUCUUGGCCAUUUUGCUGUGAAAAUCAUCUAAAAAUGCAACAAUUGAAGAAAACUCAGAAGUCGACUUCAUAUUUUGUCUUUUGCAUUAAAAAAAGUAACAUCAAACCUUUUUUUUCUGCGGGAGAAGAAUAUCACAUGGGCGGAUAUCUUUGAGGAGAUACAUGACCGUGUGCGUGCAGAAACUUAGAAGACAACUAUUUUACAGCAUCAGAGUUAUAUACAAGGCAUAGAAGAAAAGAUGUUGAAUUCGGUGGUAGUUUUCACAAAGGUAUUUGAACAUUUAACCAAGAGUGGCGAAUGUGAAAUGACAACUCUGUCCCUGUUGGAAACUUUAAGGUUGAGCCGCCCGAGUUGUUCUAAGGGCGUGGGGAGCAUUUGAAAGUUAAACCACAAAUAGGAAUGCUGAAAAGUCGUAUCCGCCCAUGUGAUAUCUCAAUAAAUAUUGGCAAUGCUUGCAUGAUUGGGGACAAUCCUUCGAAUGAUGUCAAGGCCGCAAGAUAAAUUUGUUUUAUUACUUUUUAAUUUUUAUUAAAUUGAAUUCUAAUUUUAUAUAAACAUUUGUUUUCCCUUUUUAUUUAUAUAUUUCAGGCGAGACAUCCAUGUUUUUCAAUUUUGACAAGGAUAUGUGUUUUUAGAGGAAGAGAGAACCGCACAGAUUAUCCUGUUUAUCGGGUCAAGUAGCAGAGUUUAUGUUGUCCGGAUUAAACGCAAUGAGCUUAUAUGUGCAAGAAUCCAGCAUAAUCCGGCUUCCGGGUUAUACCCGAUUAUAAAGGCUUGGCCAUUUCGAGGGUGGGCAAGGAGCUACGUUUCUUUUUUUUUUUAUUAUUAUUUAUCUAGCGUAAGUAGAACUAACGUAAGUGUAAUCUUCCGAGAAGAGAAGAAUAUUACCGAUCUAAAUAUUAUACUCCUAAGCUUUUCAAGGUAAGAAAAUUUGUUAUAAUUCUAAUAAUGUGAAUCUGGUCAUUAAAUCUCCGUAUAGGGAGAUUGUUGUGCUCAUUGUCGGUCAUUACAAGGUUUUCCAAUGAACCUUAAACAAAAUAUGCUUAUUUUUUUGUAGUUUGGCUGCAGAAACAAUACAAUUUCAUAAAGAUUAUUGAGCAUCUGUUCAGGAAGACAAGAUUUAUCUUCAGCUAGAGGCAUUGUUUCUGCAGCCAAACUACCACGAAACAAAUAUGAUUUAAGUUGUAUAGGGGUAGAAUUGUCAUUUGGUGCUUCUCCAUUGUCGCAAGAAAAGAUUGUAAAAGCGGAUUCGCAUCAUGUAGGCAGGUAAGAUUAGAAUAUACUGUACUAUCUUUGUAAUUGAAUUUUAUAUUUUUAAUGAAUACUUUUUUUGGAAGAAAGGGCCAUAAACCUUUAUCAGAUAUAAAUGGAUCCUUUCCUGAAAGCCUUAGAGGUUUAACUGAUAGGAAUCUGAAUGGCAACUCACUAUUAUGAAGAGUCCCACUUACAUGAAGUUUGCUGUGAAAGAGCAACAACGUCGUCCCCAUCUGAAUGAGCAACAACGUCGCCUCAUCUGCCGGAGCACAUCAACUGCCGAAGAUCGAUGCCACCGGAGCACACCAGAGCGUCGCCAACACAAAAUACACCAUCCAUCGAUCUGUCUCAUUAAAUGGUUUCUCUUUUCCGGCAGCGAAGAUCUAGGCGAUGCUCGCGUCGGCGAUGAUUACCAUCUCUCUCUCUCUCUCUCUCUCUCUCUCUCUCUCUCUCUCUCUCUCUCUCUCUCUCUCUCUCGACGUUUUGUACUUUUCUGGCGGCAGUAUCGCUAGCCGUCGGCGAUGAUGACCGUGGUUGGACUGAAAUAACCAAAAUUAUAUUUUAAAUCUUGAAAUAAUAGGCAAAGUUAGAAAUUUUACCUUAUAUGUAUUAGAUGGUUAGAUUAAUGUUGAUCUAUCUUUUUAUAAUAAAAUAUAAAUUGUUAUUAGUUA